ACACCGUUGGUGAAGUGGUUAUCAUGCUUGCCUUCCAUGUGAUAUGGCAUCCCAUAGACAUUGAGGUAGCAAGCGGCUCGGGUUCGAUUCCCGAACGGUGUA